AUUGAACGCUGGCGGCAUGCCUUACGCAUGCAAGUCGAACGGCAGCGCGGACUUCGGUCUGGCGGCGAGUGGCGAACGGGUGAGUAAUACAUCGGAACGUACCCUGUUGUGGGGGAUAACUAGUCGAAAGAUUAGCUAAUACCGCAUACGACCUGAGGGUGAAAGUGGGGGACCGCAAGGCCUCACGCAGCAGGAGCGGCCGAUGUCUGAUUAGCUAGUUGGUGGGGUAAAGGCCCACCAAGGCGACGAUCAGUAGCUGGUCUGAGAGGACGAUCAGCCACACUGGGACUGAGACCCGGCCCAGACUCCUACGGGAGGCAGCAGUUGGGAAUUUUGGACAAUGGGGGCAACCCUGAUCCAGCAAUGCCGCGUGUGUGAAGAAGGCCUUCGGGUUGUAAAGCACUUUUGUCCGGAAAGAAAUCGCGCUGGUUAAUACCUGGCGUGGAUGACGGUACCGGAAGAAUAAGCACCGGCUAACUACGUGCCAGCCGCCGCAGUAA
rnacentral:rRNA from 1 species